GCCCCUGAUGUCUCAGUUGGUAGAACAUGAGACUUUGAAUCUCAGGGUUGUGGGUUUGAGCCCCAUUUUGGGCA